rnacentral:rRNA from 1 species
UACAGAGGGUGCAAGCGUUAAUCGGAAUUACUGGGCGUAAAGCGUGCGUAGACGGUUAUUUAAGUCGGGUGUGAAAGCCCCGGGCUCAACCUGGGAAUUGCAUUCGAGACUGAAUAGCUAGGGUACGGUAGAGGGAAGCGGAAUUUCCGGUGUAGCGGUGAAAUUCGUAGAUAUUCGGAAGAACACCAGUGGCGAAGGCGGCUCACUGGUCCGGUACUGACGCUGAGGUGCGAAAGCGUGGGGAGCAAACAGG